rnacentral:rRNA from 1 species
UACGUAGGUGGCAAGCGUUGUCCGGAAUUAUUGGGCGUAAAGCGCGCGUAGGCGGUCUUUUAAGUCUGAUGUGAAAGCCCACGGCUCAACCGUGGAGCGUCAUUGGAAACUGUGAGACUUGAGUACAGAAGAGAAGAGUGGAAUUCCACGUGUAGCGGUGAAAUGCGUAGAGAUGUGGAGGAACACCAGUGGCGAAGGCGACUCGUUGGUCUUUAACUGACGCUGAGGCGCGAAAGCGUGGGGAGCAAACAGG